UUGACCAGUGAUGAUGACAGGUGAUGGAUGAGUCAUGGGUCAUGAGCAAUACGUGUCUGGAUAUCUGAGGUCCAA
rnacentral:snoRNA from 1 species